UUUUAUAUUAAUUUGAAAAAUACUGUUUGUUUAGAUAUUACAUAACUUUCAAUAUAAAAUAAUGUUGAUUUAUAAUAUCGUUAGAUGUAAAGGCCAUAAAGGUAUCGGUCGGUGAAGGCCAGUGACAUAAACAGAAAUAAAAAAAAUCGGCAAGAAAAUGACUUCGAGAGCUGACGAAUUGGUUUCCUUUUGUAUCCCGAUGACUUCCCAAUUAUAUUAUUAAUUGGAAAAUCUCAACAUAAAAAGUACAAUGGAGAAAUACUAUAUAUAUAAUGAUUUUACUUCAUACAUGUUGAUUGACAAUUUUCUUCUAAUAUUAAAUAUUUCGAAUUAAAUUAUAAAUUAUAGUACAAGUUCUUGAUAAAAGAUUUCCAAAAAUUUUACGGAUUGGAAAAGCACUGUACACAACAAAGUGGAGAGAUUAUACAGCCAUUGUAUAAUCUACGUCAUACAGAUAGAUCUAUCUCUUUUUAAGGACAUAUAGGGCUUGAUAGAGAGAGAUAGGUCGAAUUCAUUACGUAUAUACUCCGAGUUACGAAUUUCCAGGAAAUUCUCUGGCUGAGAAUGAAACAAAAUGAACCAAUAUUCAGCCUUCAUUUCUACAGAAUACUUCGGAAUUUCUACAGAGUACUUCGUAUUACAGACGUAUAUACCCCUAAGAAAGCUACGAUUAAUGUUCUUUCAUAUUUUAGCAUUACAUAUAUUAAUUCCAACAUAUGUUUUACUUCAUCACAAUUUAAUUAAUAUUAUAGCAGGUUGGUUAUUAAAUAGAAAAAUAUAGAUAUUUGUGUAUUUCUAAUGUAAUUCACGCCAGAGUCUACUAGUGCAAUUAUUAUUUUAUUAUGAAAAUUUAUACAAUUUGUAUUAAACGGAUUUCUAUAUGCAACAACCUUAAAACAGUGAGAUUUGGAAUAUCAAUAUUGCUUAAAAUAUACUUUCAAUAUACAAAGCAAACACUACCUGCAUACUUUGGUACAUUUUUUAAUUAUUUAGCUUUUAUUAAUUUUAUUAAAUAACAUUUUAUAUAUUAUAAUUAAUACCUUGAUAUAAUAUAAUCUUUAAUAUAUUACCUUUAGAGAUGAUCUAUAAGAAAUUUUUUAUAAAUGUUAUAUUCUUUUUGUGUUAUAAUGUUGUGUUUGAUAAUUUUGUGUUGUAUGUUUCAGCCUCUCAUUUUUCUAUUAAUGUAUCAUUCUUCAUCAUCCUGAAGCAGAAUGCUGGUUAUAUAAGAAUCAAUAAAAACUUGAAGUUUUUUUUUUUGAA